rnacentral:lncRNA from 1 species
GGUACUCUAACACAGCGAGUUCUCAGUGUUGUCUCUAUCUCUCUUCGAAGCAAUCAGAUUAUCCUAAAAUUGUCACAGACUACGGGAAGCUCCAAGGAAAAACCUCAACGUCGAGAAAUGGCAGAAAAUUUUUAAGUUUUUCUGGGAUUCCAUAUGCUGAGGCACCUGUUGGUCCUCUAAGAUUUAAGGUGAGAUGAAACUGAAAGGUGAAAAUGUUAGUAUUUAGUUCCAAUUUUUCCAGGUAAGUAAUCUGACAACUUCAAUAACAGAGAAAAUUCGAAUAGAAGGUUGCAGAUGAUACCCAAUGUCCCGAAGUGUGGCUUUAGAGAGGCUGAUCAAGGAGUGCAAGGAUUUUGCUGUUUUAAGAUCUAAACAAAUUUUUGUGGAAAAUUUGAGAGAAGUAUAAAAUUUUUGCCUUGCAAAUCAACGCAAGUGGCCGGUGUUAUUGAACUUUCAAUAUCCAUGGAAAGAAGAAAUAGGUAAUAAGUGUAGGAAAGUCAGCAAUAAUACUUGCUUAAAGUAUUUAUUAUAAAUUUUGAAUUUGCGUCAGUAAGUUCCUCAGUAAGUUAACAGUUCAAGAAAAGGAGAAGAGACUUUCAGACCUCAGCAUUCAUUACUGUAGUUUAUCAUUCAAGUAAUUGGUGUUUUAACUUUCCUAAAUCAAACCUUUUCAUAAUUUCUUUCUUAUUUAACCAAUUCCUCUCAUUUUCUUCCUGGAAGUCUUGUUUUUAUUUCAUACCAGUUUCUUUAAAAGUUUUCAUUUUUCUCAGAUGUCAUUUUUUUGUUAUAUUUAGCCACCUGUUCCAAGCAAAGGCUGGGGAGGGACGAGAGAUGCUGCAAAGGAAGGAAACGUUGCUGUCCAGGCUAGUCUAUCGUCCAAGAAAAUUUUUGGAGAUGAAGACUGUCUUUUUGCAAACAUUUAUACCCCAGAGUGUGAUGGGCCACUGAAACCUGUCCUUGUUUGGAUUCACGAAGGUGCAUUUGCAGUUGGAUCCGGCAGUGCUUUACUUUAUGGCGCUCAUUUUUUCAUGGACCAUGACAUAGUUUUAGUAACAUUCAACUAUCGACUUGGUGUUUUAGGCAAGUCUCUAAUUUUAGUAAAAGUUAAGUAAUUUAAAGAGCUUUCCCCUUUUAAUUUCUGAUGUUCAUAGUUCUAUUUGUAGGCAAUCAUAGAUAUCAAAAAAUUAACUUCAAUAUUACAAGAAUACUUGCAUACUCACACUCAACAAUAUUGUUGCUCUGAAGCGCAGUGAUUUUUUUAUCUUUCUGGACUAGAAGAAUACAAGUUGCAUGUGAUGAUAUCAUUCCUGCCAACCGUAGUGAGCACAGUAGUUAAGUGGCUCAAUUUGGUAAAACAGCUGUGAUUCACAAAUCAUGUGUCAAUGCUCAAAAAUUACAGAUCAGACAUAGAUAUGAACAAUGCUAAGUCCUACACACAGCCAUUGUUAACGGAGACAUGGCAUUUUGAAAGAGAUGGUGUGUUUUCUCAUCCACUGCAAUAAUGGUCUCUUUUUUCUUGUAUGCACCUCUGAUUGAUGAACUGAGCAAUGAUUAUGGAAAACACUCAUCAAAGUAAAAAUAGAACCAAAUCAUGGAAACCACUUCUGCUGUGCGCAAAGUUACUCAUUGGUUUUUCCAGGAAGCAUUAUCAUUGUUGAUAUUGAAUGUAGAAACUUGGUGUUUGAACAGAUUAUAUUAUUUUUGCUAGGUAAAAAAUAGUCCCUGAUCAUCAAAACACGAAUCUGUAUGCAUCGCAACUGAUAUCUUAUCAUUUUAAACCUGAUGCAAUAGCAACUGUUACUAUGGUGAACUCUCUUCCUAGUUUUUCUGAGAGAGAGAUUGAAAAGCAAAACAUUUUGUCCAUGAAAAUAUUGAUUUAAAACAAUGUUUUUUACUGGUGAAUCAAAAUUUAUUGAUAGUGUUGUUCUUGUUCAGAAAAGAUUGUGGUAUAUCUAUUGGAACUGUCAUGAUGAAAAUAAGUAGGGUUGUCAGAGUUUUGUUUCUUACCUAUGUACUUCCGGGCCUCUUUUCUAACACAAUUUCAUCUUGAAAAUAUCUAUAGGAACUGUCAUGAUGAAAACAGGUAGGUUUGUUAGAGUUUUGGUUCUUACCAAUAUUUUCUCCCGGGCCUCUUUUCUAACACAUUUUCAUCCUGAAAAUAACCACAAAUUCUAGUCAACUCAGUUGCUAAAUCUGAUUGUUGAGUGCUCAAUACCAACAUUUUAUCUUCUUGCAGGGUAAAAAUUUCUGAGCAUUUUCUAUCCAGAAAAUAUUAUAAAGAAAUGCUUUAAUAUGAAAAUUGUUAUUUGGUCUCCUACGAGGGUUUAGCCCUGAACUGCAAAAUUGACUGUUUUUCCCAGAAAUUAUUUCACAAAAUGCUCUAAGAAGAUUUUACUGCACUAAGUAUCCGUUUUUCCUACUCCACAAAUUAUACUUACUACUUUCAACAUUAGUUU